AUUGAACGCUGGCGGCAGGCUUAACACAUGCAAGUCGAGCGAGCGGCGGACGGGUGAGUAAUGUCUGGGAAACUGCCUGAUGUAGGGGGAUAACUACUGGAAACGGUAGCUACUCCCGCAUACCAUCAGAUGUGCCCAGGUGGGAUUAGCUAGUGGGUGGGGUAAUGGCUCACCUAGGCGACGCUCCCUAGCUGGUCUGCGAGGAUGACCAGCCACACUGGAACUGAGACACGGUCCAGACUCCUACGGGAGGCAGCAGUGGGGAAUAUUGGACAAUGGGCGCAAGCCUGAUGCAGCCAUGCCGCGUGAGUGAAGAAGGCCUUCGGGUUGUAAAGCACUUUCAGCGGGGAGGCGUUACCCGCAGAAGAAGCACCGGCUAACUCCGUGCCAGCAGCCGCGGUAAUUC
rnacentral:rRNA from 1 species